rnacentral:lncRNA from 1 species
UCAGACAAAUGUUCAAAUCGACAAACCAAACCAACUCGACCUCAAUUUGGUUUAAUUCGGUUUCAACGACUGGAUGUGGUCAGUUUGAAUUGGAAUUUACCCAAAUAGAUCAAGUUGGUUUUGAUUUCGGGUUGAGCUUAAGCCCAACCCAACCCAUCCGAACUGUGCCCAAGCCUAGCACCAACAGCAGUCGAGGUGCAUUGUGAUAAUAGUUGCAAAAGAACGACCUUGCAACUACCUAAUCUUUGUGCUCAGUAUACUUGAUAAUUGGGGAAAAGCCUAAUGUGGUUCCAAGCUCCUCCUUGUUUAUUGCUUUAGAAUGUAUGAACAAAAUUCCAUCAAGCGUAAGAGUCACCAACAAAAUGUAUGAACAAAAUUUCAUCAAACAAAAGUCUAAUUUGAUUAAUCGCAAUUUAAAUUUUUGAUAUGUAAUGCUCGAUUAAUAGAAGCUUAUCCACUAGAUUUAGGGUGAAGAAGACCAACAACAAUUCCAUCAAGGGUAAGAGGAGCCCAUAAAAUGACACAUGAACAAAUAUUGUUCUCGGUGUACAGAAAGUUCCUUGUGUAGUGACAAAAAUAUCUAUCAAUCAAUUAACCACACAAAGUUAGUUAACUAUUAAAAGAUAAUGGAAAUUAAUCAAAGUAAAUCAAGAGUAAAACUUCCCCAUCAAGCUCCGACUAGCACCGAAAGUGGAUGGAUCGAGACUCAGAUCAAGAGCCGAAAAUCACACGACAACACCACAAAAAUUGGACCAAGAGUACUCACUCAAAUGGACCACAAAUGAAUACCAAAAACCCAGCCAAAAAGACCACGCACAGAAGUGGUCGAACACGGGCGAAACGGAGCAACAACGGGGGGACAAAGGCACAGUCCAGCCCAAGUGCCGAAAAAGAGCUGAUGGUAAAGAGCAGAGGAGGCGGUCACAAAGAGGAAGAAGACAGAGGUAGCCACUAAGUAAGAGCCAAGGACGAAAAAAGGCGCAGCCAAGUCUCAAUAAUAUUGCCUCGAAAACCGUGCGUUGCGUCAAAAUACACAGGGCACAUAAUUAUAUUAAAUGUAAUAAUAAUAGGUCAAGUAAUGGGUCGAGCCCGUUUAGUGGUCUUGGUCCUUCUUUGUAAUUUUGGCUGACCCAUUAGUAAUUAAGUGCAUUCAAUUAUGAGUUCCCAAUCAAACUAAUUGAAUACAGUAACUGUCCUGACUAUUCACUAUCGUACCAAGGUUUAUUUGAUAUCAAAAUAUCCAAAACCUUGCAUGAAAAUUUUAUCAAUCGAAUCAUCAAAUCAUAUUUCGGUUAAAAAAUUCAAUACAACAAAUGAAUUCAUGUCAAAAUCCACAUAAAAUUAAGAUUACAUUUCUUCAAGUAAUGACAAUCAACAAAAUGAGAAUAUUAAUACAUCAGGAUGAUUACAAUUCAGAAUGUAUAGGCAAAAAAUAAUUAUAUAAAGUAACUAAAGGAAAAUUGAUAUCAUCUUUUGGAAAGAAUUUAUUAAUACUUUUCUAUUGGAAAAGUCACACACAUUCAAAAAUGAUUCAUUUAUGAACCAAAUUUUCAUCACCAACAAAUGAUAUUGGUCCAUAUAAUUCCAUUGACUUGCAUCCCAACAAAGACUUCAAAGUCUUUCCCUACUUUUGAGUCGUAACUUAUAAGUUACAUAUUUAUUUUAUUUUUUUGUAACAAAAAAAAGUAUAAUUUAUCCUUAAAUAUCUCAAUUUUCCAUAGAUGGAAUUUAACAGUCCUUACAUAUGCCUAUAGCCAUCCGCCUUGAUGAAAAAAGUAACGCUAAAACAAUUAGUACCAACAAAAUUAUGUCCUCCUUUGCUUCCUCUUCCGCCUCCUAAUUACCGCUCUCUCUACCACUCCUCCUUACCGCCCCACGGACCAAACCCUCCUCAGUUGUGGCUCCAAGUCAAGUGGAAUAGAUGACAACCAACGUAGCUGGGACGGUAUGAAAAGUAAUACUUCUAUUCAACUCUCAGCUUUUACAUUGUAAUGGUGAAAAAGAUAAGAGUUGGAGUGGCUGGGGUCUCCGUGAUGGUGGUUGCUGGUGGUGAUUGUGGUGCAUUUCGCUUCGAGUUUCCUUUUUUUCCCCUUCUGUAAUCAAAGCUAAUACUUUAUAAUUAAAUUUCUCGCUCAAUUUAGUUUCUACCAUCUCUACUUUUGUAGCAAGAGAUGCAAAUUUAUGUCCACCCAGUUAGUAGUGAACUUGUUGUCGAGCUGAUUUCAGUCUACAUUAUAGUGGCUGUUGUAGUGCAAUCCAAAUUCUUGGGGUUGUAGGUGUAGUAGUUGGGUUGAUCUUGGAGAGAUCAAGUUAUGGAACGGCUGCAAAAUACGUUGCAUUUCACUAACUGGACGCUCAAGCAAAAACGUUAAAAUUGAAGGAGAGAGCUGUAGCCCGCUUCUCGCUUGUCGCUCGACACCACUAGAGCAACGGACCUUAUUGGCCUUUUUACAUUUUGGACUCCUAUCCAUCGACAACUAGAUUUUUUAGGCGUCUCUAUAAAUACAAAACAUCAUCCAUUGUAUUAAACAUGAGUUUUCAUGAGUUUUGAGAUAACAAAUCUACAAUAUCAUGUGAGCUUAGAUUCAAUUAAGAGUAUUGAAUCUUUAUAUUGUAAAUAUAUUUCUAUUAAUUAUAGUGAAUUUUCUUCUCCCGGCCCCUGGUUUAUUUCCUGAAUUGGCUUUCCGCAUAAUUCUCUAUAUAAUUUACUUUUAUGCUUUAUUUUAUUAUUAUCGUAUCUUGUGAUCUGCAUUCAUAACAAGUUGUAUCAGAGCAUAAGGUUGAUUUCUGCAUGGCAACAAUGAAGUAUGAUAUUUCGAUGUUGAAUCGAACCACGAAGUUUAGUUUAUGGCAAGCAAAGAUGAUAGCAAUUCUUGCGCAGAUGGAUUUAGAGUAAGCCUUGCUUGGUUUUGAUGAGAUGCCCUCUAUCUAGACACAGGAAGAAAAGCGGUAUAGAGAUCAAAAAGCACUGACUUAGAUUCAUCUUCAUCUUUCAAAUCAAAUUCUUCAAGAUGCUCUAAAGGAGAGAAGUGCCGCUGUGCUGUGGUUGAAGUUAGAGCAGCUUUGCAUGACAAAGAGCUUGACCAGAAAGUUAUACUUGAAAUAGCGCUUGUAUUCUCAUAGGAUAUUGGAUUCUCACUUAACCUUGUUCAAAGAAAUCGUGAUUGAUUUGCAAACUUCGGAGGUUAAGUACGACGAGGAGGACUUGUGUUGAUGUUGUUGUGUUUGUUGUCGCAAUCAUUUGUGAGUUUUAGAGAUACUAUUCUUUAUAUUCGUGAUACUCUUACGAUGGAGGAGGUCUAUGAUACCUUACUGUCUAAGGGAAGAUGAGGCAUCUUGCUGAAGGAUCUGAGAGUCAGGUUGAGGGCCUGGUUGUUCAUAGGAGAAGUCAAGAUAGGAAGCUUGGCAAAAAUAUGAGGGGCAAGUUGAAGUCUAAGCAUGCUAAGAAGAUAUGUCAUUAUUGUAAGAAGAAGGGGCAUAUUAGAGCUGACUGCUAUGACUUGGAAAACAGAAACAAAGCUGGGGGUGCCAAUAUAAGGGAAAAUCACCUGUCGAUUCAGUGGAGGCUAACAUUUUGGAAAACGAGCAAAGCGAAUGAGAGUUUCUUGUGAUCUCAGAUAUGGGAUCCAAACCUUGUGAGGAAUGGGUUCUGGAUUCGACAUGUACCUUCCAUAUGUGUCCAAAUAAGGACUGGUUCAUUACAUAUGAAGGAGUUUCAAAAGAUAUAGUGAUUAUGGGAAACAAUACGCCUUGCAAAGUCGUCGAAGUUGGUACUAUCAGGAUCAAAAUGUUUGAUGGGGUUAUCAGAACACUUACAGAUGUCAGGCAUGUUCCAGAAUUAAAGGGGAAUCUUAUAUCCUUGAGUUCUCUUAACUCAAAGGAUUAUAAGUACAUUGGUGAAUGUAGAGUUCUGAAGGUGAGCUUGAGUGCUCUUGUUAUCAUGAAGGGACAUAAGAAUUCUACACAAUUGUACAUUUUGCAAGGUUCUACUGUUAUAGGAGAUACAUGAGUUCUACUUCUUCUUUGAAUGAGGAUGAGGUUACAAAACUUUGGCAUAUGCGGUUUGGGCAUAUAAGUAGAAAAAGAAUGGCAGAAUUGAGCAAAAGGCAGCUUCUUAAUGGGUAGAAGACCAGUAAGAUGGAAUUUUGUGAGCACUGUGUUUUUGGAAAACAGAAAAAGGGUCAGAUUUUCUAAGGAAAGACAUGACACGAAGGGAAUACUUGAGUACAUACAUUCAGAUCUCUAAAGGCCAGCCAGAGUAUCUUUAAGGGGAGAUGCAUAUUACCCGAUGACAGUAAUUGAUGAUUACUCAAAAAAAGUUUGAAUAUUCUUCUUGAAGCAGAAGAGUAAUGUGUUUGGGACCUUCAAAGAGUGGAAAACAUUAGUAGAAAAACAGAUUAGCAAACAGAUAAAACAUCUACACUAAUAAUAGGUUGGAGUUUUGUUCAGAUGAAUUCAAUAGCUUCUGCAAGGCUGAAGGUAUCUUAAGACACUUGACAGUACUCAGAACUCUUCAGCAAAACGACGUGGCUGAAUGGAUGACUAGAACCUUGAUGGAAAAGAUUCGUUGUACGCUUUCAAAUUCUAGGUUGUCUAAGUCUUUUUGGGCUAAAACUGCUAUUACAGUAUGUUUCCUGAUUAAUUGCUCACCCUCAACGGCCAUUGAAAAUAAAACACCAGAAGAGGUAAAUUAGAAGAUCUUUGGUUAUCCUGCGUAUGCUCAUGUGAAUAAUGGAAAAUUAGAGCAUAGGUCUAGAAAGUGCAUCUUUCUUGGGUAUAAAUCAGGAGUGAAGGGUUAUAGGUUGUGAUGUCCAGAAAAGAAGAAAGUGAUGAUUAGUAGGGAUGUAGUAUUUGAUGAACUUGUGAUGAUUCGUGAAAGACCUCUUGUGGAUUCUGGUAAAUCUAGAGAACAUAAUUAUUCAACUCAGGUGGAGCUUGAAAUUGGCCCAGGGAAACAAUCAGAGGUUACAGAGCAGUCUGGUUCAUAGGAGAUAGACAUAAUACUUUACCUAUUUUGCUUACACCACCAGUAGCACCACAAUAUUUGAUUGCAAAUGACGGACCUCGCAGAUAGAUUAAACCUCCACAGAGAUAUGGCGAGGCAGAUUGGUUGCUUAUGUUUUGAGUGUGACGGAAGACAUUGAUUCUAAUGAGGUACCUGCUAUAUAUUCAAGGGCAAUCAGUUGCAGUAAUUCUGGCAAAUGGUUUAUUGCAAUGCAGGAAGAGAUACAUUAUUUGAACAAAAAAACACUUGAGACUUAAUGAAAUUGCCUAAGGACAAAUGGGUUGUUCGUUGUAAGUGGGUGUUCAAAAAGAAAUAAGGGACAUUGAGGUUUGAAGAAACAAGAUUUAAGGCUAGGUUAGUGGCAAAAGGUUACAGUCAGAUUCUAAGUGUUGACUUCAUAGAUGUGUUCUCGCCAGUUGUAAAGCAAAGUUCAAUUUGGGCUUUACUUGAGAUUGUACAGAUGGAUGUGAAAACAACAUUCUUCCAUGGAGAACAUCUUCAUGCAACAGCCAGAAGGGUUUAUAGUCUUUGGAAAAGAAGUUUAUGUGUACUUGUUAAAGAAGUCCUUGUAUAAACUAAAGCAAUUACAUAGGCAGUGGUAUAAGCGGUUCCAUUCAUUCAUGACUAGAUAUGGUUUUGAAAGGUGUAAGUAUAAUAGUUGUGGGUACUUCAGGAAGGAAAAUAGUGGAUCGGUUACAUACUUGCUGUUGUAUGUUGAUGAUAUGCUUAUAGCAGCCAAAGACGAAGUAGAGGUCAGAAAAAGUGAAGUCUCGGCUGAGUAAAGAGUUCAAGAUAAAGGACUUGGGAGCAAUAAAGAAAAUCCUUGGAAUGGAAAUCUUGAGGGACAGAAAGGCUGGCAGAUUGUAUUUGAGUCAGAAAUGGUACAUUGAGAAGGUACUUCGGAGAUUUAAUAUGCAGAAUGCAAAGGCUGCCAUUACACCGUUGGUUGCACAUUUCAGAUUAUCAGCGGACUUGUGUCCACAGUCAGAUGAAGACGUUGAGUAUAUGUCUAGGGUUCCUUAUUCCAGUGUAGUUGGUUCGUUGAUGUAUACUAUGGUUUGUACAAUACCUGAUUUGGCACAUACAGGAAGUACAAUUAGUAGAUACAUGGCAAAUCCUAGAAAGGAACAUUAGAAAGCAGUGCAGUGGAUCCUUAAAUACUUGAAAGGCUCUACAAAUGCUUGUCUGCAUUUUGGAAAAAAUUCAGAAGGAGUCAUAGGAUAAGUGGAUUCAGACUGCAAAGGAUCUUGACAAAAGGGGAUCACUCACGGGGUAUGUGUUUAUCCUUGGAGGCUGUGCUAUUAGCUGGAAAGCCACUCUGCAAAAUACAAUAGCUCUAUCUACAACAGAGGCAGAGUACAUUACCAUUACUGAUGCUUGUAAAGAGGCUAUGAGGUUGAGGAGAUUAAUUGGUAAAAUCAGUGAAGACCUACAGAUAUCUACAGUGUAUUGUGAUAGCCAGAGUACUAUAUUUCUGACUAAGGAUCAGAUAUUUCAUGAGAGGACUAAGCACGUUGAUAUAAGGUAUCAUUUUGUGCCUGAAGUAAUUACUCGUGGUGAUAUUGUAGUUAGCAAGAUUGAUACCAACGAUAAUCCUAUUGAUAUGAUAACAAAACCACUUCCCAUUACUAAGUUUGAGCAUUGCUUGAACUUAGUAGGUAUUUGUCAUUGAUUUAAUAUAUUGGGGCUUGUUUGGAAGAUGUGGAGUGGUAUUUACUUAGAGAUGUGUAUUUGAAAUUCCUAGUGUUGGAAUUUGGUUUAGGGUUGAGAUUGUUGUAGUGUAAUCUAAAUUCUUGGGGUUGUAGGGGUAGUAGUCAAGUUGAUCUUGGAGAGAUCAAGUUAUGGAAUGAGGGCAAAACACUCCGCAUUUUUGCUAGCUAGACGUUGGAGCGAAACCAUCAAAAUUGGAGCAGAAAGCUAUCGCCCGCUUCUGGCCUGCCUGUCGUUCAAUGUCACUCGAGCAAUGGACCUUACCAGCUUUUUCCCAUUUUAUUGUGUUUUGGAUUCCUAUUCAUCUACAACUAGUUUUUUUGGACGUUUCUAUAAAUACGAAACAUCGUCCAUUGUAUUAAACAUGAGUUUUCACGAGUUUUGAGAACAAAUCUCGAGAGAACAAAUCUACAACAUCUUGUGAGCUUAGUUCAAUUGAGAGUAUUGAGUCUUGAUAUUAUAGACACAUUCCUAUUCAUUAUAGUGAAUUUUUUCCUCCCUUGCCCAUGUCUUUUUCCCGAAUUGGGUUUCUACAUAAAUCUCUGUGUUAUUUACUUCUCUACUUUACUUUAGGAGUUGGCACUUUUUCCCAGAACCAGUGGAAUCGGACCGGAACCUUUUUGAACCUGCCGAUUUGGUUUCAGAUCUUCUAAAAAAUAAUUUGAUUUCGGGACAAAUUUUUAAGAACCGAUCGGUUCCGGUCCGGUUCUCGGUUCUAGUAUGGGAACCGUGGGAACCAGACAGUUCUCAUUGGGAUUUUUUUUUGGUAAAAUAUAUGACUCAAUCUCUAAAACUUUCAUAAAAAAUAAUCGGGUUCCUUCUUAAUUUUAGACUCCAACACUUUCCUUAUUCUCUUUGAUUCUUUCCUUGUCUUUUCUUAUAAUUCUUUGAUUAAUUGAUUCUCAAGCCAAAUUAGAAUAUUGGGUAAAUCUAUACCUAAAUAAAUUUAUUUACAAUAUAUAAUUUCAUUUAUAAGAUGCGAAAUUUUUAUUUUGUUUUCACUUUGAUUACAUGAUUUUUAUUUUGUUUUCACUUUAUAAAUCUAUACCUAAAUAAAUAUUUGAAUAGUAUUUUCGGUUCUUCUAUAUUUUGUUAAAAGUAUCACGUUGGUAGCAUUUUUAGAAUUUUUAUUAGUGAACAUUUUAUUUUAACAUUUUCAAUGUAAAGAACCGGAUCGGAUCGAAUUGGAACCGAUUGGUUCGGUUCCGAUUCGGUUCCAUAGGUUCCAAUGGUUCCAUUUCUAAAAUUCUCAUUGAUAUUUGGUUCGGUUCGAUUUCCUUUGGAACCGGACCAAACCGGACCGCGCCCACUCCUACUUUAUUUCAUUAUUGUCAUAUCUUGCGAUCCACAUUCAUAACACUGGCAAAAAUGAGCACAAAGAUGGCAUGAGACCGGAUGGUUUGCCGAGUGUUUGAAAAUGGGCAGUUAGGCCUAGUGGGAAGCAAAAACUGUAUGUAACCACCUGGCAAAUGGUGUUGUCAACUUUACAUAUGAAUUUGAGUUACAUACUAAGUAUUGAGGCAAGAAUUACAGGAUUUUUUUUACCCUUUGUUGCCUUGUAAACCAUUUUUUUUUUUGUAAGAAAUAAAGUUUGGAUGGCUCCCAUAAUCUUAUGUUCAUACCUAUAAUUCUUAUAGUUCUUCUACACUUAGUCUAAAUUCAUGCAUUUUCUUAACACAGACAUAAACAGUGUUGAACUUUAUGGAGAUUGGCUAAAUGAGAUGAGAAAUCUCAUUGCCAUUUUAUGCCAUACCAAAAUUUUCGACAACGCGUGAUAGUUAAGUGUCUCGUUUCUACAAAUUGAUGAAUGAUAUAUAUCAGCAUUUCAUAUUAGAGGUUAUUAUAUCAACAAUAAUAUCUCUACCCAUGGUGAACUAAUAUUUUGGGUGCCCCAAACUUUGAUAUAGUUUGCAUCUCCAUUUAAAGAGUGCAAGAUAAUUGAAAGGGGAGAAGGGGAAAUUGUUUAGUAUUUUUCCACUCUUGAAUGUCUACUUCCUCGAGAAAUCAAUUUGAAAGCUAAGAUUCCCACGGACUAGCAAGGCCCCUAUUCGGGAGCAAUUUUGAUUGGAGAUGAGAAAAUUGUAAAAAAUGUCUACUUUUAUAUGGUCAUUUGUAAAAAUGUCCAAAAUUUGUUCGAUGUCCAUUUACAAUAAUUUAGACCAAAAUGCCCUCAUAAACAAUUUUAAAUUCCACAAUGAAGACAAAAUCAUUCAUAUAAUUAAAAAUUAUAUUGGUCAAUAAUAACUCGACACAUGACCUAUGCUACUUACUUAAAAUAGUACUAUAUCAAUCAUGCAUUAAAUACUCAUUUCUCCUAUAAAUGGGUAACUAAAACACUUAUGAAAUGUAAUGAACUACACUUAAAAUGUCAAGAACCGUAUGAAGUGUCGAGAUAAACAGGUUUAAAUGUCGAUAACAACUUUUAAAAUGUCAAGAACAACAAUUAUUAAACACUACUUAUCAACAAAAUCAACAUUUCAAAGAAAAAUUACCUUCUAUAGAGAAUUGUGGGGAACCUAAUCAACUUGCAAAUUUGGAUGAGAUUAAAUUUAUUGAAAUGAAAUUAUAUAAUUUUCUUAUAAAUUGGAAGCAUAGAGUUAUUUUUUAGUGUUAAUGUUUUUCUACUUCAUCUUCUUCAUUUUUUCUCAAAAUCAUUGGUCAAUACCUAGCCCUUGUUUGGUGGCUUUAAAAUUUAAAAAACAGUAUUUUUUGGAGAAAGAGGGGUUAAAUGGUAAGAAAUUUUUUGGAGUUAUUACUUGUUGAAUACUUUAUUGUGUAAACUUGUAAUUGAAAAUAAGUUUGAGAAAUAAAUUAAGCCCACGUUUGGCCCCCAUUCUCAUUCUCAUUUUUUUUCCCUCUUAUUUUCAACCACACAAUCUUCCAUAAAAUAAUAUUACGCGCAAAUUAAAAACUAUCAUUCUUUUUUAUCCACACAUUAUUCAAAAAAAUAUUAUUCUAACCAUUAAAAUUUGGCAAGAAUGGGGGCCAAACGGAGGCUAAAGAAAAAAAAAAUGGAAAAAUCAAAUAGGAACAAUAGAUGAUGAAAGUAAAUGAAUCCACUUGAUAAUAUUAGCUAUUAUUAAUGCAGCUUAUUAUGGGAGCUACUUGUGUUUCUUGAAAUUUGUGACAAAUUAAAAAAAAAAUUCACUUCAUUUUUCAUUUAGGGUAUAGUAGACAAUUUGGUACCAAAUUUGGCUAUUUUGCAAGAGUUAUCAAAAUUAGACGCUUUUCAAUUAACAAGCAUGAAAUUAAACUUUUUUUUUCUGUAAAUUUCCGUUGAUUGGAUUUUAAGCAAUUUCUUUAUAGUUGGCAAAGUACAAGUGGUCCCAUAAUACCCGUUUUCUUUUUUUUUCUUUUUUUUUUUUUUUUUACUUUUUAAUCAAUAAAUUAUCCCCUAAAAAUCCGUUUCCAUAUAUACUCUGUUUUAUGUGUACAAGUAAUUCAAAGUAAAAAUAGGGGUGAUACAGUUUUCCCCACUAGACUUCAAUUUUAGGUGAUAAUUUAUUUACGGUGAAAUCAAAAAGAGGGGAAGGGAUAGAAGGGGAUCCAUUUUCAUUGGCAACGGUCAAAAGAUUGAUAGCUAUGUUGGCAAAAUAGCCCCCAAAAGGGGGCAUAUUAAAAUCUUCUAUUUUAUUAUUUAGAUACUCUUUUAAUAAUCGACCUUGCAACUGUCAUAAUCUCUAUUUUUGGGACAUCCGAUAAUUGAUUUUCGGAUUCCUUCUUAUUUAUUACCGUAUUGAUGAUUAUUAGCCACUUAGAUACUCUUUGAUUCUCAUUUUUCUAAGAAUGAGAAUUAAAAAUAUAGUCGUUAUAAUAUCCACAUAAGAGAUAGAAAAUAAAAUAUGAUUACUUGAUAUAAUGGAUAGCGAUCAUAUUUUUUUAUUUUUGUGACCAAAAAAUAAGAAUCAAACGGGACAUAAAUAUAUGGAACCAAAAACUUAUAAGUGAUAGAUCACAUGGAAAAGCAGUGUUGAUUUUUGCACUAAAGUACAAGGAUGACUGACUUAUAAUGAAGUCAAUUCCGUUCAGUAGCUUUCUCGAGCAAUCUUUCUAAGAAAAAUCAACAAAUGUAUAAUUCCAUGAAUAAUUCUACUUGUACAAUUGAGGUUGACAACCCCGAUUAACAAUGUACUCACAUGAGAGGGGACUCACGAUUUUUUUAUUAAGCGUGGGCCCUCCUCCUAUAUGUGUACAUUGUCAACCGGGAUUAUCAACUUCGAUUGUACAAGUAGCAUAACUCUAAUUCCAUUGACUUGUCUACCCCCAAAGACUUGAGAGUCUUUUAAGUCUUCCUAUCCUACUUUUUUAUAUAACAAACCUCCAUUAAUGCAUCCCAACAUUCUUUAGCAUUAAUUAGGCCCUCAAUCCCCGCUAAAAAUCAUGCCCUUCUUUCCUCUCCUCUCCUUUCUCCUCCACCUCUUAACCAUUGCUCUCUCCGCCACUCCACCGUACAAUGCCAGCGAACAAAUCUUCAUCGACUGCGGCUCAAAUGACUCGCGCACACCCAUUUAUAGCAACCUUUUCUGGAAAAGCGACACUUUUGUGCCAAACAUCGACACAGUGUCUAUAGCCGGUAAGCCAACAGAUCAAGGCUCUUCUGUCCGAAAAUCCCCCCCUUAUAUGACAGCUCGUAUUUUCAAAUCCCAAUUUUCUUACACUUUUCCUGUUUCGGCAGGACCCAAAUUUCUCCGCCUCCACUUCAAUGCUGCCACCUACUCCUCCUCCAUCCUUGAUAAAAACAUAUCCUUCAACAUAAAUGAAUCCAUUUUUACAGUUACUGCCAAUGAAUUCACACUUUUGCACAAUUUCACACCCUCUAAACCCUCAUUUAAGAAAGAAUUCAUCAUUAAUGUGGAGGAUAAUCAGAUUCUUAACAUAACCUUUUCACCUUCUCCAAAAUCUCACGCGUAUAUCAAUGGGAUUCAAAUAGUUUCGAUGCCACACAACCUUUACUUCCCUGACUUCCCCAUCAAAUUUGCGAAUCGAUCGUAUGAUCUAAAAAAUACAUCCGCGUUGGAGACUCUUUAUAGGCUUAAUGUUGGAGGCUGUCAUAUCAAAAUAAAAGAAGACACAGGGAUGCUUCGUGAAUGGCAUCAGGAUGACAGCUAUAUUUCUGGUGGAGAUCUUAGUUACAUGCCUCACGCAGUAAAUCUUCCAAUCAAUUACACGGAACACACUCCAGCUUAUACUGCGCCGGAAAUAGUUUACACGACCUCAAGGGUAAUAGCCAACGGAAACAAAAGUUUGGAAUGGAGUUUUCCUAUUGAUUCCGGGUUUCACUACCUCCUCAGACUCCAUUUCUGUGAGAUUCAGCUGGCAGUUACCAAUCAAAACGAAAGGGUUUUCACAAUUUCAAUCAACAAUCAGACAGCAGAAAUUGAAGCCGAUGUUAUUUUCUGGACUGGGGGCACUGGAAUUCCUUAUUUCAAAGACUACGUCACAUGGGUUAGUGAUGACGACCGCCAUGGAGAGAAAGACCUGAGGCUUUCUUUGUUCCCAAACCUUAUUUCCCAGCCUAAGUACUCCAGUGCGCUCUUAAAUGGCUUGGAAAUCUUCAAACUCAGUGAUUUUAAACGUAGUCUUGCAGCACCAAACCCUGAACCUAUACCGUUGGCACUGGACAAUAAGCCCCAACGAUCAACUUUGCUUUAUUCUGUUAUCGGGAGUGUGACUGGAAUUCUUGCUGUACUCUUAUUCAUCAGCUUCUUGAUUUUCCAGCUCCGCCGGAGAGUGAAAGACUCUGGCUCAAAUGCCACGACGUCAUCAUGGAUCUCACCUUCACUCACGUCAAAAUCAACCUCAAAGACCAGUGGUUCGGGUUCAUCGCUACCGUCUGAUCGGGGCCGACACUUUGUGUUGGAGGAGAUUAAAUUUGCGACGGAUAACUUUAAUGAGAGUUUUGUGAUUGGAAGGGGAGGAUUCGGUAAUGUAUAUAAAGGGUACAUUGACAAUGGUGCAACUACGGUUGCCAUCAAGCGACUGAAUCCAUCAUCGAAUCAAGGGGCACGAGAAUUCAAAACAGAAAUCCAAAUAUUAUCAACAAUGAGGCACCUUCACUUGGUGUCCUUGAUUGGAUAUUGUGAUGAAAAUGGUGAGAUGAUCUUGGUGUACGAUUACAUGCUAAAUGGUACAUUACGUGAUCACCUCUGCAAGACUAAGAAUUCCCAAUUACAGUGGAAGAAUCGUCUCCAAAUUCUCAUUGGUGCAGCGAGAGGAUUAGAUUAUCUUCACACAGGCACCAAGCAUGUGAUUAUUCAUAGAGACGUUAAGUCGACCAACAUCUUGUUGGAUGAGAAAUGGGUUGCAAAGGUGUCUGAUUUUGGCUUAUCCAAAAUUGGCCCCACAGCUAGCACCACCUCCCAUGUCAGCACAGAGGUAAAAGGUAGUUUCGGUUACUUGGAUCCAGAGUAUUACAAGAACCAACAAUUAACACAUAAAUCCGACGUUUACUCAUUUGGUGUAGUCCUAUUUGAAGUAUUAUGUGCGAGACCUCCCAUUUUUCCAGACACAUCGAAUAUCCAAGUGAAUUUGGCGGAGUGGGCUAAAAUUCGUUGUAAGAAAGAGACUCUUGAGCAAAUUGUUGAUCCCAAUCUUGAGGGACAAAUUGCAUCGGAAUGUUUGAGCAAAUAUGCUGAAAUUGCUAUUAGAUGCUUGGGAGAUAACCGAACUGAACGACCAUCAAUGAGUGAUGUGGUUUGGAGAUUGGAGUAUGUAAUGCAGCUGCAGGAGGCGGCCGAGAACGGAAAAAAAUGACUUGCCGAUGUUCCCAUUGUAUCCAUUAUUUCUGCAAGGAGAGCCACCCGCACAGACGAAAUAUUUUCUUGCUCCGAGGAUGUUACCUCAGAGCGUUGCUAGCAGCAACAUUUUGAAGAGCAUUAGUACAUUUACUACUAUAUGUCACACACAGACACAGUCUGGGACUGUUUUCUAUAAAAUGAUGAAUCCAAUAGGGCCCUAGGUUUUCCAUUUUCCUUGUUGUACCAAAUAUAACAAUGUUAGAAAGUCAAAGUUGUCCACUACAAAAGAACACAACUUCAUUUUUGCCGAGGGUUGAGAAACAACAUAAAGAACAAGAACACAAUAUACGGUUACAUCAACCCAAAAUCUCUGAUUAACAACAUAUUCUUCACAUUUUAAGAGUGCUUCAAUUACAUGUACUAAGAAUAAUGAGUUGGCAUCAAAAAGAAUUACAGCAUAAUGUUUUCUAUAAAUUGGCACGUACGUAAAUUCUUGUGCCAAGGGUGCUGGCUUUCCAAUAUAGUAACAGAAGGUUAUUUCUCGGUUACGCCGGUGCAGUGAAAAGUAAGCAUUUCUAUAAUAUCUCCGAUAAUGUAUUUAGAGUUGGAGAGGUUGAAACAAAAUCCCUGCCACCACCUAAAAAAUAUACCCAUAACAGGUAGUAAUUGAUGAGCCUAUUCAUCUUUCGCGCACAAGCGCUCUGCAAAUCAGAAAACAAAUGAACGGUCAUAAAAUUGAACUUGAAAAUUAGCUGAGAAGAAAAUGCUUUCAACUACUUUGCAGGCACACGAUAAAACGAAAAUACAUAAAGAAGUCUUCAAACAUGCAUCUAAAAGCAAUAAUGUUGAGUGAAACUACUGAAGAAUCCAAAUAUUAAAAAUUUCCUGGAAGUUUUUGAUGCCCUGAUUUCAGAGUGGACCAAGAUGUAUAAUAGACAUUGGCUAUUAACCCACAGAAUACAUGGUGAAAGACUAAAACGUAAAAGAAGUAUGAAGCAGUCAACAGCUUAAGCUCCACGAAUUAUUUAUUUAACAGAAAAUAACAUGUUAAGGACUUAAUCCUAUUAUCACGCUUACUAGAGAAAUCAUGGAUGCCGACAAAAAAAAUGAAAAAUAAAUAAUUUAGAAGAGAAAUUAAAGAAGCCUACUUAGAUACUCAUAGGCCAGUAUCAUUGUAGUUCCCCAAGCUGACAUACUGAAAAAUCUUGGUCCCAGACCUCUAUACAAACCAGCCCAUCCAUCCUCCGCCAUCAAUUUUUUAACUACUUGUCUUGCAGUGGGUCUCUUUUCAUUCCCUAUCACCUGCAAGACACCCAAAAAAUUGAAAUAAAAUCAGAAGCCUUGCGAAAACUGUCUUAAUGUGCAACUGAACCAUGCCAUGUCUAAAACUCUAAUAAAAAGACUCAGUGAAGCAAUCAAAAUUGUUAAAUGUUUUAAAAAUGAGAAUUUUUGAACUAUUGUUCUUCAUACCAAAAGGAUAUUAACAUUGAAAGCAAAAAAAUAAUUUUUUAUUUUUAUUUUUUAUUUUUUAUGUGAACAUUGUUUUCAACUGCAACUCCAAGAUUAGAGCUAAUGCAUGAGUUCUAGGACUAGACCAACUCUCCUUUGUUAAGAAGCACCGAAACGAACACGAGUGUCCAACAUGUCGACACAUAAUUUUUCAAACAAGUAUAAAUAUAUUACGUCAUCAAUAAGUUGAUUAAAUAUUUUUUAUUUUAUUUAUAUUUUUAACUUAAUUUUUUAAAUUUUUUUAUGUCCAAGAAAAAAUCGAAGGGUUGGAGCAAGAAGAGUUUUCUCUUGAAAUGGAGCCUAAAGCUUUCUGCAAAUGAAAUUGAUUUGCUUCUUGUGUAAGUUCGCAUUUCAUCAAAUAAUGGGUAAAAUAAUUAUUUAGCUGAUAAAAAAGUUGUUCACUGUUUAAAAUUAGUAAAUAUUUGACUUAACAUGCAAUUCUUCUAUCACUAAAUAAAAUGUAAAUCCACUUUAAAAAAACUUUACCCACGUUAAAAAGUUAAAAAUAAAAAUAAAAAAUAAAAAAAUUUGACACACUUUAAAAUCAAAAAGGCCCACUUUAAACAAUUUGACCCAAUUACCAAAACCUUCAAAUUGAAAAUACAAUUCUCAUCUUCCACAAAAUAGGUUUUUAUGACAAAAUCCAUACCACCCAUGCGAUGCUAUCAAGUUAAAUCCAUUGUGGAUGCCUGAAAUUGCCAAGAGCCCAUUAAACUUUGGGGCUAGAGACACUAAAAUUUAGCUAAAUCAGCAUGGUAGGGUUAGUUUUUUAUUUGAUUUUUUAUUUUUUCAUCUUUAUCGAUACUCAAAGAUCCAAAAAAAAUAAAGGUACAUGACACCGGCAUGCUGGGACAUGUACGGCAAUGCCAACACAAGUCCGACACCAAUACAUUCGAGUUGGAAGUGUGUCCGUGCUUCCCAGCUCGUUAGUCCUCCAUGGCUCAGGUUUUUCCCAUCCACAAAUUAGCAGAAUAGUGUGAUUACAAGGGCAUGUUAACGCUUAAAAGGACUUUCUCAGCUUACUCUGCUAUAGUGGAUCACUAGCAAGGUGCCACAGUUUGUGGGCUUGAAGGACUUAGCGUCAUGAUAAGUGGUAUCAGAGCCAAAGGUUAGGCCAAGCCAUGGCUUGUUGGAAGAUCGUGUAGGCUAGUGUAAUCGAAGAGGCUCGAUGGGAGCAAACUCGUGAUCGUGUAGAUCACCAUGUUACACAACUGAGGGGACAAA